ACCUGGAUGGCUUAGUCUGUGAAGCAUGAGGCUCUUGAUCUCAGGGUUGUGAGUUCGAGCCCCACAUUGGGCA
rnacentral:tRNA from 1 species